GCGUAGCUGUGUAGGUGCACCACCUUCACAAGUGCAAAGACACUCUAUUUUAAUUUUAUUAGAGUCAUCCCUUAACUAUCUUGCAACGUCUCUUAGCCUUUUAAAAAAUACCACUUUAUUCUAAACGAUAAAUAAUAACUCGAUGCUAAUGAUGGUUAUUCCCAAAGUUGACCACUCAAGAAUAGAGGAGUUAAAAACUAUUUUGAUCGAUUUGAUCCGAAAAAAAAAAAAAAAAAAUCUAAAUUCAUAUUUUAAUUUGUACAUACAUAAUAGUCUAGUACUUAUGCUUCAAAUUUGAAAUGACCAUGGCCGGACAUGACCCGACCUAACUGACCCUGAUCCAAUAACCCGAAUUGACACCGCUACAUAGAUCCCCCUUGGAAACCCAUUUGUCGUAACACGUGGAGUCUCUUGGACCUCAACAUGAACCAAUGAUGGGGCGAAAAGAGGACACAGCCCAUACCAAAGAGUUGGCCUUUUGGCUUCCUCAUAACAAAAGCGAGCUAAUUGCAGCUCUCUUCUUCCCAUCGUCCACUACUAACACCUUCAUCCUAAUUUUCUCUCUCUUUCUUGUUACCUUGCCAUACAUCUGAUUCUAUGCUAUGUAAAUUAUGAUUACUGAUAAUACUGGGAGCAGCAAAAGAUAACCCUUGUGUGACUAAACCAUGGAUAAUUAGUUGAACAAUUUAGUUUCAAGAUGUCACGACCGUCCCAACUUCCACCUCGGUGCCCAUUGCAAAAGAAAGCUGUUGCACACCAAACCCACGACCCUAGCUCGAUUUAUUCCCAAGGAGUUAAUAAGUCCAGUGCUAGACAUCAUAGAUCGUUAUCUCAAAGUUCGGUGUUGGAGGAACAACCAGCGUGGCUUGAUGACUUGUUAAGCAACUCGGACUCAGUUCCUAAAGGGAUUCGCCACUGUAGGUCGGCUAGUGAUUCGUUUGCUGUUUUGGAUGGUAUUGUCCCAAACUUACUUCUGUCUGCAAGUCAUGAGGAUGAACAAGUAGAGGAUAGUAACAUAUUGGGAUCUGGUUGUAUAUAUGGCCCUAAUUCUCCUCGUCGAAGAUCCACUGUAGAGUUUUUGGAUAACACAGUGCUUUUGGCAAUGUCUGAUUACGUUGAUCAAAGUCCAAUGCAAUUUGUCAAAGAGAAUCCUCGGAGUUAUGGGACUCGUUUGGACUUAAAGAAUGAUUUUUGUGAUGCACCCAGUUACUACAAUAUUGUUGCAAAAACUGCAAAGAGGCAUCCUGGACAGCGCUCUAGAGCUCGCAAGCUUCAGUACAUUGCUGAACUAGAAAGAACUGUGAAUGUGUUCCAGACGUUGCAAUCAGAGCUAUCAAUAAGGGUUUCUACCUUGCUUCAGCAAAAAGUUGGAUUGUCUCUGGAGAAUAACCAGUUAAAGCAGCAGGUGGCAAAGCUACAGCAACAAAAGCUGUUGAUGGAUGGCCAAAUAUAAUAAACUCAAGAACCUAAAGGUUCCAAAUUAUUGGACCUUUUCUGGCUGUCUCCCACUCAACAACUUGCUGUAUACCCACAAGGUUUGAUUGGUUUGCAACCACUCAACAUAAAAUAUUUUUUAUAAAGUCAAGUUGGCAACUGUGUAAUAUAGUCAUCUUUUGCUAAUAAGGUUGGAGCCAACUGAAUAGUUUGAUGUUUCAGUGCUAGUUUUGAUACGCUCUUGGGUAAGACCGUCUCAUUAAGAUUCAUCGUGAUUGGUGAGUGUGACACUAUAAGUUACGCUAAACAGUAUGAGGUCACCCUCUGAGAAUAUCAAACCCUGAGCAAAGAAGCUGAGAGGCUAAAGCUCAGCCUGGCAAAUUCUCGAAGCAGCACAAUCGACACAUAUGUUGGUUCAAAUGAGACUGAUUCUGGAGAAGUAUCAUGG